rnacentral:rRNA from 1 species
AGUGAACGCUGGCGGUAGGCCUAACACAUGCAAGUCGAACGGCCGCACCGUAAUAGCUUGCUCUUACGGGUGGCGAGUGGCGGACGGGUGCGGAAUACAUCGGAAUCUACUUUUUCGUGGGGGUUAACGUCGGGAAACUCCCGCUAAUACCGCAUACGACCUACGGGUGAAAGCAGGGGUUCUUCGAACCUUGCGCGAUUGAAUGAGCCGAGGUCGGCUUCGCUAGUUGGCGGGGUAAAGGCCCAACAAGGCCACGUUCCGUAUCUGGUCUGACGGGAUGAUCAGCCACACGGGAAAUGAGACACGGUCCAGACUCCGACGGGAGGCAGCAGUCGAGAAUAUUGGACGAUGGGCGCAAGGCGGAUCCAGGCAUACCGCGUGAGUGAAGAAGGACUUCGGGUGGGAGAGCCCUGUUGUUGGGAAAGAAGAGCAGCAGGUUAAUACCCCGCGGUUCUGACGGUACCCAAAGAAUAAGCACCGGCUAACUUCGUG